GGCUCGAAAGAGAGCCGUAACACAGGUGCUGCAUGGCUGUCGUCAGCUCGUGUCGUGAGAUGUUGGGUUAAGUCCCGCAACGAGCGCAACCCUUGUCAUUAGUUGCUACAUUCAGUUGGGCACUCUAAUGAGACUGCCGGUGACAAGCCGGAGGAAGGUGGGGAUGACGUCAAGUCCUCAUGGCCCUUAUAGGUGGGGCUACACACGUCAUACAAUGGCUGGUACAAAGGGUUGCCAACCCGCGAGGGGGAGCUAAUCCCAUAAAGCCAGUCGUAGUCCGGAUCGUAGUCUGCAACUCGACUACGUGAAGUCGGAAUCGCUAGUAAUCGUGGAUCAGAAUGUCACGGUGAAUACGUUCCCGGGUCUU
rnacentral:rRNA from 1 species